rnacentral:misc_RNA from 1 species
GAAAUGCGAUAAGUAAUGUGAAUUGCAGAAUUCAGUGAAUCAUCGUAUCUUUGAACGCACCUUGCGCUCCUUGGUAUUCCUUGGAGCAUGCCUGUUUGAGUAUCAUGAAAUCUUCAAAGUAAAUCUUUUGUUAACUCAAUUGGUUUCUACUUUGGUAUUGGAGGUCUUUGCAGCUUCACACCUGCUCCUCUUUGUUCAUUAGCUGGAUCUCAGUGUUAUGCUUGGUUCCACUCGGCGUGAUAAGUUAUCUAUCGCUGAGGACACUGUAAAAGGUGGCCAAGGUAAAUGCAGAUGAACCGCUUCUAAUAGUCCAUUGACUUGGACAAUACUUUUAUGAUCUGAUCUCAAAUCAGGUAGGAAUACCCGCUGAACUUAAGC